rnacentral:rRNA from 1 species
UACGUAGGGGGGCAAGCGUUGUCCGGAUUUAUUGGGCGUAAAGAGCGUGUAGGCGGCUUUACAGGUCCGUUGUGAAAACUCGAGGCUCAACCUCGAGACGCCGGUGGAAACCGUAAAGCUAGAGUCCGGAAGAGGAGAGUGGAAUUCCUGGUGUAGCGGUGAAAUGCGCAGAUAUCAGGAGGAACACCGGUGGCGAAGGCGGGUCUCUGGGCCGAUGACUGACGCUGAGGAGCGAAAGCGUGGGGAGCGAACAGG